GCAAGCUCGAGUAAGAGGAAUAACCUGAUUUUCUCCAGACCUUUCUAAGAGCAGCAUUUGGAUAAUUGGCACAGGGGGCUAGGCCUGGCUUAUGCAAACGAAUGUGUGAUGCUCCAGUGUACCAAUCACUUGUCAGACUCACUUUCUGUUGUCAGAUUGGAGAGAAAUAAUUGCUAUAAAACCUACAGUAAACUUCUGUGUCUCGAAAAUUAAGUGUUUCAGCCAAUACACCAUUGACCUGAACUUCAUGCCUGAGUUUAUGAUUGUAAUAAGGACCUGGAAGAAGGUUAGAGAAAACAGAGAUAAAGGCAUGCAGCUAUUGGCGCAGCUUAGCUGCAGGAUCUGGCAGCCCUGCUUCUACACUGAGGAUUCUCUUGUGUCCGGCGUGAGAGCUGAAAGCUAGACAUCGCACUGCUGGUUGGGCAUCCUGUCAGCUAUCUUCAGCAUUCAUUUCGGCAAGAGCAUCUUGAUUUUAUGAAAAACUAAAAUAAACGUAAAACAUUAAGAUAAAAACAUCCAAAGGUAUACGUAUUGGGAUUGACAUCUGAAAUGAGAAAACGUAGCCUUGUGGAGUUUUGUUAGUGUCUUUGGCACUAUCAAAAUCACAAAUAAAAGAGAAACCACAAAUUCCAUUUCCCUGAGAACCUGUGAAGAAGUGGAGCUGAAGUGGAAAAACAGAGAGGGGUGAAAACUGGAGGGCUGAAGAAGUCAAUACAGAAGGAGGAGGAGAUAGGGAUAAAUGGCAUCAAGAUUGUUUGAGAAGGAUUCA
rnacentral:lncRNA from 1 species